CCAGACUCCUACGGGAGGCAGCAGUGAGGAAUAUUGGUCAAUGGGCGGGGGCCUGAACCAGCCAAGUCGCGUGAGGGAAGACGGUCCUAUGGAUUGUAAACCUCUUUUGUCGGGGAGCAAAGAGGCCACGUGUGGUCAAAAGCGAGAGUACCCGAAGAAAAAGCAUCGGCUAACUCCGUGCCAGCAGCCGCGGUAAUACGGAGGAUGCGAGCGUUAUCCGGAUUUAUUGGGUUUAAAGGGUGCGUAGGCGGGACGGUAAGUCAGCGGUAAAAAUGCGGAGCUCAACUCCGUCGAGCCGUUGAAACUGCCGUCCUUGAGUGAGCGAGAAGUAUGCGGAAUGCGUGGUGUAGCGGUGAAAUGCAUAGAUAUCACGCAGAACUCCGAUUGCGAAGGCAGCAUACCGGCGCUCAACUGACGCUGAAGCACGAAGGCGUGGGUAUCGAACAGGAUUAGAUACCCGUGUA
rnacentral:rRNA from 1 species